rnacentral:rRNA from 1 species
UCGAGGGGCAGCGGGGAGUGAGGCUUGCCUUACUCUGCCGGCGACCGGCGCACGGGUGAGUAAUACGUAUGCAACCUACCCUUUACAGCGGGAUAACCGGAAGAAAUUUCGCCUAAUACCGCAUAUACUCCUUGGGAGGCAUCUUCCGAGGGGGAAAGAAUUUCGGUGAAGGAUGGGCAUGCGUCGCAUUAGUUAGUUGGCGGUGUAACGGACCACCAAGACGACGAUGCGUAGGGGUUCUGAGAGGAAGGUCCCCCACACUGGUACUGAGACACGGACCAGACUCCUACGGGAGGCAGCAGUGAGGAAUAUUGGUCAAUGGCCGAGAGGCUGAACCAGCCAAGUCGCGUGAGGGAAGAAUGUCCUAUGGAUUGUAAACCUCUUUUGUCAGGGAGCAAAGUCACCCACGCGUGGGUGUUGGAGAGUACCUGAAGAAAAAGCAUCGGCUAACUCCGUGCCAGCAGCCGCGGUAAUACGGAGGAUGCGAGCGUUAUCCGGAUUUAUUGGGUUUAAAGGGUGCGUAGGCGGGUUAUCAAGUCAGCGGUAAAAUCGUGGAGCUCAACUCCAUCCAGCCGUUGAAACUGAUGAUCUUGAGUGGGCGAGAAGUAUGCGGAAUGCGUGGUGUAGCGGUAAAUGCAUAGUCUCUAAGAAACANNGANGNGAAGGCAGCAACCAGCGCCAGANGAAGAGAAGCACGAAAAAAGGGGAACCUUAAAGUAAAANNNNAAAAUCCACAAAAAAAGGAGCGUACCGUUGUUGCUCCGAAUANGCCCCCAAAAAACAGCGAAAGCGUUAAGUAUUCCACCUGGGGAGUACGCCGGCAACGGUGAAACUCAAAGGAAUUGACGGGGGCCCGCACAAGCGGAGGAACAUGUGGUUUAAUUCGAUGAUACGCGAGGAACCUUACCCGGGCUCAAACGCAGGAGGGAUGUUUUUGAAAGGAGGCAGCUCUACGGAGUCUCCUGCGAGGUGCUGCAUGGUUGUCGUCAGCUCGUGCCGUGAGGUGUCGGCUUAAGUGCCAUAACGAGCGCAACCCCUACCGCCAGUUGCCAACGGGUAAAGCCGGGAACUCUGGCGGGACUGCCGGCGCAAGCUGUGAGGAAGGCGGGGAUGACGUCAAAUCAGCACGGCCCUUACGUCCGGGGCGACACACGUGUUACAAUGGCAGGUACAGCGGGAAGCCACUUGGCGACAAGGCGCGGAACCCGAAAACCUGUCUCAGUUCGGAUUGGAGUCUGCAACCCGACUCCAUGAAGCUGGAUUCGCUAGUAAU